rnacentral:rRNA from 1 species
UCGAGAGUUUGAUCCUGGCUCAGGAUGAACGCUAGCGGCAGGCUUAACACAUGCAAGUCGAGGGGUAUAGUUCUUCGGAGCUAGAGACCGGCGCACGGGUGCGUAACGCGUAUGCAAUCUACCUUUUGCAGAGGGAUAGCCCAGAGAAAUUUGGAUUAAUACCUCAUAGUAUGUGAGAAUCGCAUGGUUUUCACAUUAAACGUUCCAACGGUAAAAGAUGAGCAUGCGUCCCAUUAGCUAGAUGGUAAGGUAACGGC